AAUCAUCCAAACGAUUGACUUUAGGAUACUUUUUUUAGGAUACUUUUUCUAACAACUCUCACUUGAACUAAAAUCAAUCAAAGUAGUAUCCUAUACCCAUCUUUCAUUUAUGAUCAUCGAACUCUUUGAUUCUGAGAGCUUUAGUAAAGCGAUCAGCUAUGUUCUCCUUUCCGUCGAUCUUCUAAAACUCGACGUCACCUUGAU
rnacentral:lncRNA from 1 species